GUACAGCGUGUGACCUUCUGUGUCUGGCUCCUUUCACUCAGCGUGAUACAACCUCUUCGUCUCUCAGGCGGGCGGGAGGGCCGAGACCCAGCGAGGCGGAGGGCCCCGUCCCAGCUCACACAGCGGGGAAGGACAGGCUUCCCACGAGCCAGAGGACGCCGAGCCAGGAUGGGCAGCCCCCAGGUGGAAAGGAAGGUGGCGACUGAGUCCAUCACCUGUCAUCUAGAACUUGAGAGCAGGAUGCACGCUGACAAAGCCCACGCCGCAGCUGAAUUCAAACGUCUGGUUCAAGGAGUACGGAUUGGGCGCCUGCUGGAUGCACAGCCCCUUUCCCAGACCAUCCAGCCUGGCUGGUCCCGAGCACAGUCUUUGAUGGAAGAGAGGUUUGAGUCUGGAGGCACGUUUCCUGCUGGUAAGCAGUGGAUUCCAGACACGUCCUUUUGGCUCUCAAAGCCGACUUUCUCAUUGCUUAAGUGGCUGCACCCCCGGAGCCUGAAUUAGGGGCGGUGGCGCAUGUUCCACGCGGCAACUCGGGGAAGUCUCGGUAAGUGUCAGCCACGAGGGGCACUUUGUCAGCCUGUCGUUAUUCCAGAAGGAAGCUGCCUCCUUUGGGUGUCUCCCUCCUGCCGCCGGUGCAGCCCAGGGACAGCCAGGCACCUACGUGGAAAGCAGGUCCAAGAGGGGACAGAGGAAGGCCAGGCUGGGCUCAUGUGUGUCCCUAAGCCCCCUCGUCUCCCGGGGUGACCCUGUGAGCCAUCCUGAGUUAGCUGCUUUGCGCCACCGAAACAAACACCCACCUUCCUCUGGAGAGAUGAUUCCACGCCACUCAAGGACCCCACCUAUGUGACAAUCACUGAUUAAAAUGCCUCUGCCUGCUCCA